rnacentral:sRNA from 1 species
AGAAUGAGCGGUAAGUCCGUUAUAGGCUGUUCGGGGUGCUCCCUUCCAUAGGUUGGUAUGAGCCUCGACACAAGAAGCCUGUAAGGCACGCUCAAAUU